UACGAAGGGUGCAAACGUUGCUCGGAAUUACUGGGCGUAAAGGGCGCGUAGGCGGGAUGGCAAGUCGGUCGUGAAAUCCCUCGGCUCAACUGAGGAUCGUCGAUCGAUACUGCCGUUCUUGAGGAUUGCAGAGGAGACUGGAAUUCCCGGUGUAGCGGUGAAAUGUGUAGAGAUCGGGAGGAACACCGGUGGCGAAGGCGGGUCUCUGGGCAAUUCCUGACGCUGAGGCGCGAAAGCGUGGGGAGCAAACGGG
rnacentral:rRNA from 1 species